rnacentral:rRNA from 1 species
UGCAGAGGGUGCGAGCGUUAAUCGGAAUUACUGGGCGUAAAGCGUGCGUAGACGGCUAUCUAAGUCGGGUGUGAAAGCCCCGGGCUCAACCUGGGAAUUGCAUUCGAGACUGAAUAGCUAGGGUACGGUAGAGGGAAGCGGAAUUUCCGGUGUAGCGGUGAAAUGCGUAGAUAUCGGAAGGAACAUCAGUGGCGAAAGCGGCUUCCUGGACCAGUACCGACGUUCAGGCACGAAAGCGUGGGGAGCAAACAGG